UAAAUUUAGGUGCAAAAUGGAAGACAUUCUCUUAGAAAUGGAUCGGAUUUUGCGCCCAGAAGGUGCAGUUAUAUUCCGAGAUAAUGUCGACGUCUUGAUUAAAGUAAAUAAAGUAAUUAGUGGGAUGAGAUGGAACACGAAGAUGACGGAUCACGAGGACGGCCCUUUUGUCCCCGAGAAGAUACUUUACGCUGUUAAGCAGUAUUGGGUCGGCGGGAGCGAUAGUGCUUGACGGUUAAUAAAGGAGACUAACAUUUUUAUGGAGUUCAUCGGCUACUUCCUGAAGCUGAUUUUAAGACGCACUUUUCAGGCGGAAAAGCUGCAACCAAAUUAGGUGGUUUCACGCAGUCCGCGAGCAGAAGGAAGCUUGGAGUUUUCUGUGUUUGCAAGUUGUAGAAGUUAAUGUAUUGAUGUUUGGUAGUGUUUUAGCUUAAUGUAGUGAUCAUAAUUAUUGCUUCAUCAUCAGUGCCUUCUUUUCUUUUCUUUUCUUUUCUUUUUUUUUUUCCUUUUCUGAGGAAUUUACUUAACUAGGCUUGAUGAUGUAAGCACCGGAUUAUUUAUAAUUUGAGCUGUAAAAAUUGCAUGGUUCAAUCUUAUGGGCUAAAACAUUUCCUGCUUGAAUUUUAAUGUGCUUUGAUGCCCUAAAAAUGUUGAUAAUUUACAUUGAAACUUCAAAGAACUUGCAUACCUUUGCACUGCAUAUGAAUUUAAAAUGUGUUUGCCUUUUCAAAUGUUGACACUUACGACCGCAAUUAUGUGUUGUAUAUAUUUUUCUGUAAACUACUCUGUGCUAGUGUGUGUGAAUUGUAAAAUCCAGAUCCAAAUUUGAUUUCUAACCUAAACAAAAGCUCCUAUGCCCAAUUUUUCACAUGGGGUUUCAUGUCCAUGUCCAGUUACUUCUCCCACCUCAUAUCCAGUUAUAUUUUGUAAACAUAUCAGUGAUUAAAAUCUCAGCAAAUAUUAUUUUCACCGAUGAAACAAAAAGAAUUCAGAUACCUGAAGAUACAAAAUAGAAACUCAAUCUGCAUGAAGACCGAAUUACAUAACUCAAAAUGGCAGGUCUCUAUUCACAUGAAUGACAACAAGCCUGGGUUUUCUUUUUAGAUCAGUUAUCUAGGGUUCUCUUCCAGAGUGUUGGUUGUGAGAGUAAGGCCACUACUACUACAUUGCUCAUCUGGUGUUCUUGUUACUACAAGGCUAGUAUGAAGCAGUUGCCCUGGCCAAGAAUCCAAUGAAGCUGGGUAUCUCGCAUGCGGCCGCCUCACGUUGGAGGGCGCCUCGCCCUCCUCCCGUGCUGGCUCCGACACCGGGAAGAGCUGGAGCUCUCGGGGCGGGGUUGGGCAGACCAGCCCGAUAACGGCAGGCGGAGGCUGCGCCAGUGGCUGGGGGUGAUGGCGGUUGUGGUGGUGGGGCGGUUGGAUCGAAAUUGCAGGGUGAGGGGUGGCGAGACGGCUUAGAGAAUCUGUGCGGUUGGUCCAUACCGGAUGAUCAUAGCCCAUUCUUGCCUGAAGCUCGUUUUGUAGUUCGGUAAUUUGGGUUUGGAGUGCCGUGUUCUCGUCUUUUAGUUCGUUCUUUUCUGUAGUUACCUGCUCAUGAGCAUUAUGUUAGAAUUCCCAUUUGAUGCAAAAAAAACAGAAGGGUCAAUUCCUAUUGUCAAAUAUCCAAUGCAUGGUGAUUAAAGACUCGGCUAAAUUAAAGAAGAAAUGAAAAAAGGGUACAAAUUCGCUCGCCCGUGUCUCAAUUACCCUUACGCAUAAAAAGUUGCAUCAAUUUAACCCUGCAUUUUACUACUGUCCCGAAUAGGUCGAAAAUUUUAGGACAGUUAUUGAUUUUGCAUGUAGUUAUAAAAGUAAAUGAAAGGUGAGGGUUCUCAAUCCAAAAAAGAAAAAGUUCAGGCGUCUGUUUCAGAAUAGCUUAUAGUUGAGGGGUCUCCAUACAUAUUUACCUAAUUACAAAUUGUCAGCAUCUACACCGGCGACCAUUUAGAGCAUAGUGAUACCAUGAAAAUCCAGCACAACAUCACAUCAAAGAACUUACGUAGCGAGAUUCGGUCUGUAGAGCAGCAUUUUCCUUUCUGAGACACUCCACUUGAGAAAGGAGAUCGCGCAAUAUUCGAGUAGUGUCGCCCAAUAUGGAUGCCUUUCCGCUAUUUUGUCGGUCCGAUUCUGCAAAUCAAAAUUUAGUUCUUAUCGGAAAAAUGGAAAACAAAUAGUUCGAAAGUUAUUCUGCAACAACCAGAGAACCAAACAGAAGACGCAAUGUUAUUUUUCAAAAAGCUCCUCUCAUGUAUUCUUUCGUUAUUUACUUCUAAGAUAAUAUAAGGGAAAACUUCAAAAACCCCCCCUGUGGUUUCGUAGCUUCUCACUUUGGCCCCCUGUGGUUUCAAAUGUAUCAAAUUGCCCUCCUGUGGUUUCGUUUUUAUCUUUUCGAUAGCUUUUUUGUUAAUAUUUCAUUAAAUUAUAUACAAAAAACUUCAGAUACCCAUCUAGAUUUAUCAAAUAUUCACUUUAGUGCCCUUUAAUUUUAACUUUAUCACUGAUUUAAGAAAAAAAAAAUAAUGAAAUUGAUAAGAAAAAGAGAAAAAGGAAACCACAGGAGAGCAAAUUGAUACAUUUUAAACCACAGGGGAGCAAAGUGAGAAACUAUGAAACCACAGGGGAGGUUUUUGAAGUUUUCCCAUAAUAUAAUGCAGUUCCAUCUGAAAAUAUCUAUCCAGUUUAUGCAUAUGAUGUGUAGAUUUGGUGCUAUUUAUGCUUAAAUAAACAAAUAAUUGUCUACACAAUUCUGAUUGAGAAAUUAGAUGCUAAUAGAUAUUGGAUUAAAUGGUAUUACACAAAUUACUACCAUUAUUAAAACGAAUGUCGAUAUAUUUCCAUCCUCACAAGGGAUUGAACAGUGGGUAUAGGCUAGAGAGCAUAAGAGACCGCGCCUCAAAUAUAGUUAUAUCUGUUAUAUGUACAACCAAUAUACACCUAAUAAAUGAUAAAAUAACUAUAUUCAGCUGAGAUGCUCAUUGAAGCAGCAAUUUCUACUUAUAAAGCUAUAGAAUAGAAUCUGUGAUAACAUUAAACUGUUAAGUCAUGGUAGCGUUUAUCCAGACGCGCCAAAAAGGAAAAAAAUACAUGUUUAGUUGAGAAAUUAGAGAGAUUGGCAUAAGAUAUUUUAUUCUCAUGAUGAUUGUUACUUUUUACCUUUAUGCUCGUCAUUUGUUUGGCUUUAAUAUUGGGAUUUGCAUUGAAUAGAGAAUGUGGAUAAAACUUUAGAACAUCAGACGAAGAGUCUAGGGAGAAAAGUGUUUCUUUUCUCGCAUAACUCCUUACUCUAACAUAAAAGUUAGAAUUGAUAUUCUGAUGAAAAGUAAAGUUUGACUGGAACAACAAUUAACUUGAGCUUUUUAAUAGAUAGGAUUCGGACCACGCACAAUUAUAACAGCUCUCAAUAAAUGCUGAUUAAGUAGAAUAAAUCACAGAUUAUAAAUAUGCUUACCUAGCAAAUUACCCAGCUCAAGGAAGAGGUCAUUUAACUGGUCGCGUUUAAGUUUCUCUCUCUCAGCUUUGUGUAUUUUCUUCGGGACCUUCCCUUGGCAUUUUCUGUUAGGAGGAGACCUGCAUCAUGGGAAUUUUCAGAUACGGACCAAAAUUUGCUGCAGUGUCAGCAAAUGAGGUUUAUAAGAACUCGAUAAACAAAAAGUUUAUACAAGAUUCACAAGCAGAAGCAUGGGAAAAGUAAUGGUGAAGAGACAAUUUCGGUGAAAAAAACAACAAAAGAUUUCAUAAACAUAUAAGGAAACGGCUGAAAAAAUGAAAUAACUAACAUUACUUUCAUACUGUAAGUAAGCUUUCCUGUUGUUCACUAUUAAUAAUUGCUAAGAACUUGUAUUUGGGGGGAAAAAAAUUGCUACAAGCUUCUUCCGAUGCUAGCAACAUAUUUGGUGAGGUUUCAUCAUGAAUGUAUAUAGAUGCUACUAAAGUGUAGUUUUAUGCGUGAAGUAAGAGCUUGCCACUAUAUUAUUUAGUGGCACGGGUUCAAAACAUAGAAACAGCCUCUCCAAAUAAGGGUGGCGAGAGCCUUGUACACCAGAAAAUCCUUAUGUAACUUAAUUGCAAUAUGCGACUCCUUCCAAAUAUGUACGUAAAAUUUAAGGCUCAUUUGGGCAUGCGGCGUAGCAUUUCACGUUUCACUUGUGUGCACGCUCAUUUGCUUUCCAUUCGGAACAGUACAGGAUGGCAGUUGUGUUCAAUUUUCUCCGUUCGCAACCGCUUAUCCCACUAUACAAGCCGACAUGCUUCUAACAAUGUGUACCGCAUAAGGAUCCACGUACCCUACCAUGCAACUGAACAGAGCCGUAGAUUAACAGAGAAAAGCCCCUUUAGGAAGUAAAUGCCCAAAAGAAGAGGGGGAAAAAAUUACAUAAAACUAUAAUGCGUAUACAACCAAAGAAAUGAAGUUCAUUGUAGAUUACGCUCCGUAAAAGCAAUCGAUGUUUCAUACAAAUGGUCGUCCAAGAUAACUAAAUAUAAAGCACACGAAUGGAUUAAUGAAUUGUACGGUAAGUAAUUCGUAAGUUGCAACAACUAUAAUCAAACUAUGGCGAGUUUUAGAUCUACCCAUCGGUCGAUUUUUCCGUGACACUGUUAGCCGUCGAAGUUGGAUUUUCGGAGACCGUGCUCUGGCUGCUGUCCAGCAUCACGCAAAUCCCCUUUUUCACUUCUUUAUCAUAUAUAACACAAGUUAAAUUAAAUAGAUCAAUAAAUAAAUAAGAAGUAAUUGCAUCUCACUUGAAACAUCCUAUAAAUAGCUACAUCGAAUUCCUAAUACUCUUCCCCUUUUAUAUCAAAUUUUCAGAUAAAAAGUUAGUGAUAUAUAUAUAUAUAUAUAUAUAUAUAUGUGUGUGUGUGUGUGUGUGUGUGUUUUGUUCAUAAAACUCCAUCUUUUGAAGACCAUGACCUUAAGAAACAAAAAACAUUAAAAAAGAUACAAUUUUGUCUAAAAAAUGCGGCUAAAUCAUCAAUAAUUGCGAACAAAUUAUCAGAUUUUUUCCAUAAAUUAAACCGAAUUCAUGAAACUCCUCUCCUCUCUUACCAAUUCUCAGUCACAAACCAAAUCAAAACCCCUGAAUUUCCAACUCCCAAAAUCUAAACACCGGGGCCAAAAAAAUCUAAAUUUAUCAUCAAAACUAGAAACAAUUCACCAAAUUCGCAUCGAAAACACCCGAAAAAAACCCGAAUCAACCCCUCCAACACGGACCCACCAAAUCGCCAUCUCAGAAACCGCGGAAAAGAUUGGGGAUUCGAGAUCGGAACCAUUUUACCUUUACGAAAUUGGGGGAAACGAGAUCGAAGAGGACGCAAUCGAAGGGAGAAUUGAACAAAGGAAGAAUCUAGGGUUUUCGUUUUCCCCUCCUCUUCCUCGUCUUCGACACACUACCACUACGUGUAGUAUAUUGUUGUUUUCGUAGAAAUAUUAGCGUGCACGCGGUUCAUUCGUACGCUCGUGCACCACGUGAAAUAUUUCGGUGUGACAAUACAAUGGACGGUGUAGAUUGAAUCAUACGAGGUGGAGGGAGAAGAUCUAAGGGUGGUGUAUGUUUGUAGGGAUACACCUGGUGUAGGGAAUGAUAUCCAAUCUGAGGAUACCACGUACCCGCGUGUGGCGAACACCCAACUCUACGCCUCCCGUGGGUCCCGCGCCGCCGCAGCAAGUAGUUUGGUGCCACCCGACAGUGGGCCCCGGGUGUAUUUUUCCGCUACGUGGCGCGAAUUUAACGCGGGAGCACGAAGUAAUACGGCUAUAAUACGAUUGCAAUAAAUAAUAAAUUAUUGUUAUACUAAAAUUCGGAUUCAAAUAUACUAUGUGGUUGGAAUAUAAUUAAAAGAUAAUUAAUAUUAUAAUAAUUGAUGAUAUUUAAUAUUGUCGGAACAUAUACAUUGUAUCUAUUUAUGUUUUAAAUCUUUUUUUAUUUUUGCGAACAUUAGUCUCUAAUUAAAAGCAAAAAUUAUUACUGAUAGUUCCUACUAAUUUUUUAAAAAUAUAUUAUUUUAUGUAAAUUAUCGUUUUAUAUUUCUCCUCCAAAUGCUUAGCGGAUUCUAAUAUAUUUUAAACAUGAUUAAAUCUUAUAUAUAAUAAAAGCUGAUUUUUUUUAUUAUAUAGUGAUUAAAAGUAUAAUGCAAGUAAAAUAUUAGAACUAAAAUAUCUAAAUUGAAAGUAUAAGAACUAUUUAAGGGCAUUGACUGUUCAAUGCAUUUGUUAAAAUAAAAGUAUUAAUUGUAUCUCUUUUUAGCCAAAUAUAAGAUGUUGGAUUGAAAAUUGUGCCCAAUAGACAAAAUCUUGAUUGAAAUCUAUAAUAUUUAAAAAAUUUAUAUAUCAAAAAUUAUAAAAUUUAAAUUGUAAUAUUUAGAAAUUAAAGAACUUCUCUUCUUUGUAUAGUGUUGAUCAUUGAGAUUUUGAGACUAUUUAGUUUCCUACUAAUACAUUUGUAAAUCUUAUGAAUUUGCGCUAAAAGUAUCUGUUAAAUUAAAUUUUUAAUCUUAAAAUAUUAAUUAUUGAAAAUUGAGUGCUAUAUUUUUUAUUCUUUAUUUUUUAUUUUUUAUUUUUAGAAGGGAAUAUUUUCCCCUGUCUAAAAGAAGGAUAAGCUCUUUACACAAAUUCCAAAACAAAGUGUGCGAAUUUAAGAAAAAAAAGUGAUUGUAUUUAUCACCUCCUUUUUAUGAACCUCCUCUCUUUACCAAAACUUUACUCUCACUCCUCUCUCCUUUGCAUAUAUUUUUUUUGAAUCAAAAAGGGCCCCAAAAACAAAGAAAAAAAAGAGAAAAAAAAAGGAGAAGUAGAGAUUACAAGGAGUGAUAUCAUGGGCUCUGGAUCUUUUCUCAAGGUGGUUGCAAAAAACUUUGAUGUUCUUGCUGGGUAUGUAAUGUAUUGUAAUGUUUGUUCCCCUGUUCCACUUUACUCUAUUUUGUGGUUCUAUGGUAAAUCCCUUACAUAAAAAUCUCAACUUUUUGUGGAAUUUUAGAUCAAAUAAUUUGUGGGUUUUGUUCUUCUUGUAGCUUUUUGUGGGUUUUGAAGUUGAAUUGUAGGGUUGUGUGUUCUACUCACAGAGAGGUCAAGUUAAAACAAAAAAAAAAAAUUUUAUUUUUUUGCUUUUUUGGUAUGGUUUAGUGGAAAAAAAGUGAUUUUUUGUUUUAUCAAUUAUAAAUUCUCGCACUAUAUAUUGCAAACUUCAAAGUUUGGCUCCAUGGUGAAUUAGUUUUAAAAGUGUUAAUUUCUUUGCAAAUUGAUGAUUUGUUAUCUAGUUACAGUGCAACUGAUCUCUCUCUCUCUCUCUCUCUCUCUUUCGAUUUGUAGCACAUUUAUUUUAAAGAAGUGAUUUUUAGGGUUUUUUUUUUUUUCCUCUUUACUAGGGCUACAUAGUUUUAGGAAUUAAUUGCAUGCAUUCUAAUUAUUAUUUGUUGCAGCUUCUGAAUUCUCUUGAGCAUAGCUUUAGAAAAGAUGUUUUUUUCUCAAUGAAACUUCUUAUUAUUAUGCCGAGUUCCUCGAAACUCAGUUCACAUCCAUGAUACCAAAAUUUCCAUAAUGUUGAAGUGUAAUGCUAAUUGAGGUUUUCAAAACUAUAUGCUUGUAUUUAGUUUGACAUUUUGAACCAAAUGAAUCAAUAAAUCCACAUUGUACCUUGUAUUCUUCUUAAAUUUGAAUUUGUAAUUUCAAGCUUAUAUUUCUUUAUUUUGGUACGCAGGCCGGUAAUUACGCUUCUUUAUCCGUUGUAAGUGUUACUUCCUCUUUACACAAGUUUAAGAUAAGCAAAUUCUUUUAAUUCUUUUUAUGUUUUUUUUUUUUGGGAAAAAGUUACCUCUCGACGAAAUUUUAACAGGUAUGCUUCAGUUAAAGCAAUAGAAACAAAGUCUCCUGUGGAUGAUCAGCAAUGGCUCACAUAUUGGGUUUUGUACUCUUUAAUCACACUAUUCGAGCUUACUUUCGCUAAAGUUAUUGAAUGGUGAAUAUUUUUCUGAAGUGUCAGUUUUAUUUUUUACUUUAUCCUCAUCAAAUGCUCGAGUACUUAUUAACUUUUUUCAUCAUCAUUUACUGUAGAACCAUAACUUUGCGGUGGUGUUCUUUAGAUGUUAAUAGGAAAAAUAAUUCCAAACUAGAUAACAUCUUGGAAAUUUUCAUUAUUAUUUCUGGAAAGUUUAAUUGCUUAUAUCCUCUUAUUCUAUGUUAUUUGUAUCUUAGAGAUAGAAGAGUAAGCUAUCCACUUUCUUUGAGCAGCAAAAAUUUUACAUUUUAUAGUUUGAAAGUCGAGUGUGGCAAGGAUUUAAGUGCCGUGGCAUGAGGUUGUGCUGGAAACUUGCUAGCACGGUAUAGCACGGUGCGUGCUGGGCCGUGCCGAUGCGUAUCGGUCACAAAAAAUAUAUGUGUGCCAACACGUAAUUGCAUGAAAUAUUUAUUUUUUUUUAGCAACAAAAUAUGCCAAUUAUUUUUUGUAUAUUUUUAUCAAAUUUUUUGAAUUUUAUUGAGAAAAUUACCUACUAAUUUCAAAAAUAAAGAGUUUUUGAGUUGUGCUAUCGGCACGAGGGCUGUAUUGUGCCGAUAUUUUGCUGGCACGAUACGGCCCGUGUCGAUGGGCGCUUCAACCCUUGGAGUGUGGGUUUAUUUAAUGGUUCAUUUUGCUAGUGCUUUCGUUGUGAUUUAGAGCUUGUUUUGGCCUAGCUGUUUGAUGAAGCUGUAAUAGUGUUUUCAUUAAAAUCUCCAACAUCUUCCUCGUGCAAUAGAAUUGGAGCUUCUGCCUUUGGAGCCUCGUAGUUCAUUUUUCACUCCUCCCUUCCACAGCAAAUGUUCUUUUUGAAGUCUAGUAAACUAAGCUGUGAUCUAGCAUUCACAAUUGUCUGUUUUUUUUCUCCUUUUGUUUUCUCUUUCUUUUCGUAGGCUUCCAUUCUGGUCGUACAUGAAACUGAUCUUCAAUUGUUGGCUGGUCUUACCCUACUUCAACGGAGCCGCCUAUGUUUAUCAGAAUUUUGUGAGGCCCAUGUUCGUAAAACAGGUCCAGGAAACAGUCAACGUCUGGUACGUCCCGCGGAAGAAGAGCAUCUUCACCAAACCGGACGAUUUCCUAUUCGCCGUCGAGAAAUUCAUCGAGGAAAACGGACCCGAGGCAUUGCAGAAACUCGUAAACAAGGUUUUAGUCAAGCAACAGUCCAUUCUAGUCAGGGUAAAUCGUAUGGAUAUAAAUCCAUUAAUCCCUCUACUAUCCCGAGGUUGCAACUUGGUUGCCGGAACUUUUACGCACGACUGAAAAGGGCAUUUUUGCAGCAAAAGUCGAACUGAUGUCAGAUUAUCUUUUGUUAACAGCCAAUAUUGCAAUUGCAAUAUCUGAGCAAGUUCAGGGGAUUAAAGCGGUCGAGCGAAUAGUUCUAGGAUAAGUUGCAAUAUCGGGAUAGUACAGCGACGAUCCGUACAUUUUACCUAUGGCUAUUAAACACAGUAACUGAUCCUUACGACAACCCCAGUCGCAUUGUCAAUUACAAUAAGAUAACCUGUUCCUUUUUUUCUUUGUUUUAAAUUCAGGCUGAAAAGGCGCCAAAGCCUAAGAAGAGCAGCAAUAAGCGCGUGACAUUUGCCGAGGUGGAGCACGAAACGGAAACGACGAAGUCCGCGAAGAAUGACAAGCAUGUUAUCCACCAUAAGAAAGAUACCGAACAAGAGUCUAGCUCUUGGAGCAGCAGCAGCAACUUCAUGAUUUUCAGUGAUGAGAAUCAUUACUGGACCUAGAAGGCUAGAACCAACCUCUCUCUCUCUCUCUCUCUCUCUCUCUCUCUCUCAAUGUAUCAUAUUGUUGUACUCCUGGUAGAAACCUUUGAGUCAUAUGUAAGUAGUUAGAUGUAUUUGAUAACUUGUAUGUAUAUGUGCUUAAGUAUGUUACAUUGUUGUGUCAUCUGAUGAUCCAAAAGUGAUCCCUUUUUUCUUUUCUUUUUUUAAUAGGUUGGUCAAGUUCUUGUGAAUGUAAUAAACUAGUUAUUGAGUAAUAUGAAAAAUAGAUCGCAUUUUCGCAGCUCAUAUUUUGUUUUAUUUCGCGCUAAGCAUACUAGUAAUUGCGAUUUUUCUUUCUUUCUUUUUUUUUUUCCCUUCCUUCUAGCAUAAUUUGAAUUAUUUUGAGAGGAAAACAAAAAACUCAUGAAGAAAAUACAAAACUAAUUUGGCCAUUCUUAAUUAUUAGAAUUCACUUUCAAUUACAAGCAAAAUAUGAUACAGUUAUUCAAGUUAUCAGCUAGACAAAGGAAUCUUAUAUAAGCUGUACUCACAAAUUGAGUCAAAUGAUCAUACUUUACAACACUUUAUACCUACUCUGCCAACACCCAAAGGCUCAAAAUUUCGUUCAUUCUUUUUGUUCUUAUUUUAACAACUGCAGAGUACCUAUUUGGCUUGGCUUUUAGAACAGCUUCUCUACUUAAAAAGCAACAGUUAAAUGCCCGACAAACAAAUUUAUAUAGCUUUUACUGGAACAUAAGCAUUCGAAACCCCCUAAACACGGGAAGUAGUUAGAGAGAUACUGUCGGAAAAGCUGUUAUUGCCCUUUUCGAUAGCUUUACUCAACAGUGCUUCUCCAGAAGCUCCAGUUAUGUAGAACAAGCACUAGCCAAGAUGUUUUAAGCUUGAGCCAGUUUCAGAAGGGCUACAAAAAGCCAAGAUGGGCGAGUCGACUGACCAUGAAAAAGGAUCAAAGAUCUGAACCACGCCGGAAAUUUUUUCGGGCCUCGAGUUUUUCAGACUUAGCGCGGCCUAGUGAAUUGGGUUUGGUCCAUUGUGCUCAGGUUUACUAACAAGCCAUCUCAAUGGAGCUGCAACCAGCUUCCUUCUUCACCAUCUUGUGCCCUUCAAACUCUCUCGCUUUUGCAAUGGCGUCCCACAUCCCUGCUCCUGCAUAAGUGCUUGACAAAACGACCGAAUCCGCCGGAUGCUCAUCCCCUAACCCUACCAAAUACCUCCGCACCGUCUCCCCCAACUCGACAUUCCCAUGCACCCUGCAGGCUGCAAGCAAAGCCCUCCAAGCCAUGUCAUCGGCUUCUGAAGGAAGCCCUUUUAUAAGCUCAUGUGCUUCUUCCAACCGCCCUGCUCUCCCCAGUAGAUCGAUCACACACCCGUAGUGCUCGGGCUUCGGAGAAAGCUUAUAAUCCCUCACCAUUUUCUCGAAGCACUUCUUGGCUUCUGCCACCAGCCCGCCGUGGCUACAGGCACUGAGGACUGCUAGAAAAGUGACUUCGUUAGGAAGCGCUUUUUCACUUUCCAUCCUAUAAAAGAGGCUAAGGGCGGCUUCAGCCCGCCCGUGGAAGCCAAAUCCCAUGAUCAUAGCAGUCCAUGCCUUCACAUCUCUUUCCGGCAUUUCAUCAAACACUUUAUUGGCAUCAAUGAUGCAUCCGGUUUUCGAGUACAUGUCCACAAGUGCUGUUCCUAGAGCUGAAUCCAACUCAAUAUCCUCCUCUUUAACAAACUCAUGAAUUCGCCGACCUACAACUAAAGCCCCCGAAGAAGCGCAAGCCGAAAGCAACCCCACGAAAGUAGAAGAAUUAGGUUUUGCCCUUUCGCGCCUCAUCUUCUCUAUCAAGCCCAAGGAUUCUUCUACAAGACCCUUUUUUGCGUAGCCGUCCACCAUGCAAUUGUACAAAACCAAGUCUCUUCUUUGUACACUAUCAAACACUUUCCGAGCAUAAUCCAUGCAGCCAAAUUUCACGUACACAGACAUGAUUGCGGUGGCGACGUUUAACUCCGAGCAAAAUCCGAUCUUUAUGCAAUACCCAUGCAAACACUCACCACAUAAGGAACCGAAUUCUACAGAGGCUGAGAGCGCACUGACGAUCGAAGCGGCAUUGACCUCCGAACAAGAGGACACCACAUCUCUAAACAGACUCAUUGCCUUCUUCGUCUCCGACACCUGACCAUACCCAUUUAUAAGCGCGGCCCAAGAAACCAUAUCUCUUCUCUGGGGCAUUUCGUCGAACAUAGUAUGGGCAUCGCACAUUUCUCCACAGCAACAGUAGAAAUGGAUGAGGGUGUUCCACACAUUGGGGUACACAUCAAAACCGGACUUUGCGACGAGCCCAUGAACCUGCUUCCCCAGGGGGAGGGUGCGGCACCGGGCAGAGAGCUUGAGGACGGAGACGAAGGGGAACUGGUCCAAGGGGAGGGGUUCGGUCAUUAGGGUUUUGAAGAGGGCGAGGGCUUCGGAGAGGAGGAGGGGGUGGUGGCGGAGGGCGAGGGCGGCGUAGGAGCGGAGCAUGGUGUUGUACUGGAAGAGGUUGGGGGCGGGGAUGAAGCGGAAGAUGGCGCGGGCGUAGAUGAAUGCGGCGGAGGCGGAAUCGGCGGCGCCGCCACCUGCUUCGGCGGCGGCGGCGGCGGAGAGGAGGAGGCUGGUGGGGAAGGGGAGGAGGUCGAGGGCGGAUUUGACCAUGAGGGCGUGGAUUUGGAGGAGGUGGGGGUAGGGUUUGGUGGCGGAGGAGGAGGAGGAGCGGAGGAGGGAGACGACGCGCGUCGAGAUUCGUGCGGGCGCGGAUCUCGGCAUGGCGGCGGACGGUGGCGGAGCAUCUUCUACUUUCACCCGGCGAGUUCGUGUUAUUUACAAACAAGCCACACAAAUAAAUUUGGCCCGAAUUCGAAGCCGAACCCGAACCCGGACCCGAACCCUGUCCGGUUCAAAUUUUACUUUUUGGGCGGUUCACACGCCGCACCAUCAGUAUCACCCCGUCCGCGCCCCUCUCAAAUUCUAGGGUUUCCGCCGCAAGAUAUAAGACCCUCCCCUCCCCUCCUCUCCCCUCUCCUCCCCGUUCGCUACUUACCCUUCACUGGUGGCGGAGGAGAUCGCCGGCGAUGGUUCACGUCAGCUUCUACCGCAACUGUAAGCUCCCCCUUGCAUCGUUCGAUCUCAUUAUGGUUAGGGUUAGGGUUUUCAUUGCUUGUUGUCGUGGCGAUUGCUUCUUUGUUGGCCAUCUUAGAUCUCUUUAUUUGGUCGAUCUCAUUAGGGUUUAGGGCUUGUGUUAGGGUUUUCAUUGCUUGUUGUACCGGUGAUCUUAUUGGGGUUAGGAUUAAGGUUAUAAUUGCUAAUGGUAGUGGUUGUCACGUUUUUGUAGGCUCCCCUCAGAUCUUAGAUCUCUUAUUUUGAUGGAUCUCAUUAAGGUUAGGAUCUUUGUUGCUUAUGGUACUAGUAAUCUCGUAGUGGUGGGGCCCCUCCUCCCUAUCAGAUCUUAGAUAUCAUCAUUUUGUCGAUUUAUUAGCGUGAGGUGUAGGGUUUUAAUUGCUUGUGGCAGUGACGGUGACAGUGACAGUGGCGAUCUCAUCUUUGCAUAUCCUCAGCUUCUAUUGGUUGAUUUUAUUAAGGUUAUGACUAGGGUUAGGGUUAGGAUUAGGUUUAGGAUGCUUCAUUUCUGAUGGUAGUGGCUAUCUCGUCAUUGCAGAUGGGAAGACAUUCAAGAAGCCGCGCUGGCCCUAUGAGAAGGAGCGCCUUGACGCCGAGCUGAGGCUCGUAGGCGAGUACGGCUUGCGGUGCAAGUGGGAGCUUUGGCGGGUCCAGUAUGCACUGAGCCGGAUCCGGAAUGCGGCGAGGGAGCUCCUCACCCUUGACGAGAAGAACCCGCGCCGGAUCUUCGAGGGAGAGGCCCUCCUCCGCCGCAUGAACCGAUACGGGCUCCUUGAUUAGAAUCAGAACAAGCUCGAUUAUGUCCUUGCGCUCACUGUUGAGAACUUUCUAGAACGUCGGCUUCAGACUCUUGUGUUCAAGACGGGGAUGGCCAAGUCCAUUCAUCAUGCCCGGGUUCUAAUCAGGCAGAGGCACAUUAGGUAUAAUGUAUUGGGAUUUUUUAGCCUCUUAUUUGUUAUGCAUAUUGGAAAUCUAUGUGUUAGAUUUGAAACAUCUGCUCAUGCUUUGGCCUUUUUUUUUGCCUUAGUAAUUGUAUAUGUGUCAUAACUUUAGGGUAAAAUAUAUGGAAGUCCCUGUACUAUCUUGAUAUUGUGGCUUGGUUGUUUUACUUUUCACUUGAAUACUUUGGCAUGAAAACUUGACAUAUGUUGCACUUUUGUUCCUAGGCGAAAAAUAUGGUUUGUCGUUCAUUAGAACUAUUAGACCCGUUUCCUUGAUUCACUUAACAAAAAGUUCGGAUUUUUUGAAGUGAUUAAAUUUGAAGUACAGGGACUGUAUAUUGGUAUAGUACGAGGAAUACACCUACAUUUUUUGCAUAACUUUUUGUUAGUUUGUAGUGCUCUCUUAUAAAAUGGACGUGCUUGUAGUUGAUUUAUACAGCUGAUUUGUAGAUUCAUGUAUUGGCUCUCUCCAUUUCUCCUUUGGGUGCAACUAUUGUACUAUGUGCAGUUUGAGUAGAACUGUAUCACUUGCUUCUUGUUUGGUACAUAGAGAGUCAUGUGUGAUUUGCUCAAACUGGAUGCUGUAAUCUCACAACUGUGUAUAAACAGAAAUUUUGUUUUUAAGAUAAGUCCUCUAAUGACUGACUGACUUCUAUGAUAUCUGCUUUUUGAACCUACUCAAUCCGAAACGUAUUUUUGAAAAUUUGGAUGACUAUAUGUUGAGCGCAUAAUUAAUAUCUUCUUAUGAUGAUUUAUUGAUGGUGGUUCCUUUGGGUUGAUUUAAGAUGGGCAAUAUGAUGAGAAUAUGUAAAUUACUCACGACGGUCGUCUGAGGCACUUAUGUGUCUACGCUGAUGCAAAAAUCUCUCUGAUGCCUAACUUUAUUCCCCCCCCCACACCUUUAGUUGAGAUUGAUAUUAUAUUUUUUUUCCUUUUUUUUUGGUUUUUAUACUGUAUAUAUUUCUUUGAGACAACGCUUUCCUAAAGAGCUGUUUGGUUUAAGGUUUUUAUUAUUUUGGAAAUAUUGUAUAUUUUAUAUUGGGAAUGACAAGUUUGUUAUUAACUUAUUGAGCCGCAUGUUGGAGGUUGUUAAGAACUAGUAUAUUCUUAUUAAUGGAUUACUAGUAAUUCUCAUCAAGCAUGAAAAUGAGAAACCUCCUAAUCCGUGAUAAUUUAGUACUCCUACCCCUUAGGUAUUGAACUAAUACUUUUUACAACUAUUCAACUUGAGUUGAAUGAUAAUGAUUUGAAUAUUUUCAAUAAAAAAUGUAGAGGAUUAUCGGAAUAUUAUAAAUUGUGAACCAAACAGGCCUAGGACUUUAAUAUCUAUUUCCUGAGAAAUCAUGAGUGCGCUACUGUACUGUUUGCUGUCUACUUAUAUCUACUUGCUUAUAACUUAAUUGCCCAAAUUUUCUUCUUUUUUUUUUCCCAAUUAUUUAUUUUGAAUAUAAAUGACUUUGCUAUCGAAAUCACUCCUUGCGGAGUUGGGAGUCAUGGUUAGGGUAGAUUCGGAGAAGCACAUUGACUUCUCGCUCACGAGCCCAUUCGGCGGGGGCCGCCCGGGAAGAGUGAAGAGGAAGAACCAGAAGGCUGCGGCAAAGAAGGCGGCCGGGGGCGACGGUGAUGAGGAGGACGAGGAGUGAGUGCAGUACCCUUAACGACGAAUAGGUGCUGCAGAGCCCCAUCAGUUCUCUUUCUCAUGCAAACCUUUGAAUUCGAUGUCGGCCGAACUGAUUCUUGCUAUAAGCUAUAGAAGGAUAAAUUACAUGUUUCUUUUUUUUUUUUUUUCUUGUUUUUCUUUUUUAACUUUUGUUUUAGUGGGCUCCGCUGGAUAAAUUUUGAUGCAUGUUCUUGAUGUUAAUUUUGAUUAUGACAAUUGUACCAUUGUAGUUUUGGUCUUGGGCAUUAUAGGUUAUUCAUUUUUGUGAGGAGAAUUGAAGAGACUCUUCUCUGUUUUCCCUUUUCUAUUUUUGAGCAACCAAUGUGCUUAUUUUUAAGACUUCUGCUGUUGGGAUACUAAUGCUGUUUUCUCUUAUGUUUUCCAUCCAUGAAUGCUCUCCUCCUGCUUCUCUCUCGCUCUCCAAUUAUUUCUUUUGUGUGCAUAUGAUAUUAGAAUUAGAUGGAAGAAUUAUGGCUUAGUCCAGCUGUUCUUAUUCUGGGAGAUCAUCUUGUAACUCAGGAAAUUGAAGCCCACUUGUGUAUUUACAGGAUUUGAUCUACCGCCUUUUCGGAGUAAAAUUUGGGUUACGAGGCCUGCAGACGAUCCUUAAAGAAGCAGAAAGAAAGAAGAAAAAGACACCGACCGUCCUUAGAGCAUGUCGCAAAGGGCUUGGUGGUUGAUACCCGAGAUCCAAGUUCGAAUCCUAGUUGAUUCAUAUUUUCAGCUAAGUUUACUUCUAAAUGAAAUAAACGAAGCGGGUUGCGUGCUACCUAUCUCUCAAAAAAGAAAAGAAAAGAAAAGAAAAAGAUAGAUAGUAAAAUUAGAGGGAGAAUUAAGAGCAGAACCCUCUGGAUCUCAUUUCCAAAGCUAAAUUUGAACCAUAGUUAAUUUGAAUUUGACAAAAAUUCGGUACGAGUAUAAUGCGAAUAAAAUUUGUCUUUUAAUUUUUAAAUUUGUUGAAAAAUACGACUUAAAAAAUAGAUUCAUCAAUUAUUCGGAUACACAAUUUAUACGUUCGCCAAUUAACAAUUCGGUAGAAAAAUUGGGCUAUUACAUAGCUAUAAAUUCUUAAAAAUAUAAAAAAGAGCUACAAAAUAAAGUAGAUUAAGUGAAAAACUUAAUAGCAAAUUUUAUUAUCUUCUCCAUCUUAAUCUUUUUCAUGAUCCACGCAUUUCGAAAGUUCACGAAGUUUUUCAAUAAUUGGUGAAUAAUUUGGCAAUAAUUCAAAAAGAAAUUUUAUCUAAAAAAUUUGUGUAUUUUUUUGGCCGAAUAGUUCGACAUACGUGAAUUAUUCACGAAUAAUAAAUUUAACUAAAAAAUUUGCAUAUUAUUUCGAUCUUUUGAGAAUAAAUCGUAUAUGGGCCGUUUUAUUCGAAUUUUUAAUAAUUUGCAAAUUAACUAAAUUUGAACUAAACCAAUGUCUAAAAUCUACAAAUGUCUAAUGGGUAUUGACAUUUUGACAGCAACAAUGGCAUUAUAAUGAAAUCUCAAAUUUCGAAAUAUGCCUUGAUUUUCUUUUUCAUGGAUGUUUCUAAAUCCAGAGAUGCGUAUUACUUCGUGAGUUGACAAAAGUAUUUCACUCCAGCCGACUUCCUUUGUCCCACCCUGCUUCUACUUCGAGGUGCCCACAGCCUGCAGCACUGCAACCAUAGCAACAAGGUUGGCUGCCGGCUGCUUCACCGCUACGUCCGCAGAUUACAGCUGCCUUCAGUAACUCCGCGAGAGGAGGGCAGACUAAACCAUCAGUCGAUCUGCGCAUUCUGACAUCAUGAAAAACCAUCCCAAGAUCAUCAAAAAGAUGACUGUCUGGAUUGCGCGCCAGGUGCGACUGAGAUCGGUAAGUACACUCGUACUGCAAGCACCAUCACAAUCACAAACAUAUCAAGUACUAUCCGCGAGGUGGCAGUGAACAGCAAUGCAUGGAGAUGCUGAUUCUCUACAGAAGAAAAAAAAAAGAAAAAAAAGGCAUCUAAACUGGUUAGCAUAUCCACAGGAACAAGCUUUAUUCUUCGGCAUCAAAAUAAAUCAUAAGAGUGAAUCAAACACAAGCACAUUGAUGGACACAGAAAAGUAAAUUCGCAUUAAAAACCAAAAAAAGAAAAAAAAAAGAAGGCUGGCAGCAUGAUCACAAAAUGUUGAAGAAAGCUUGUGAGCGAAGCGCCGAUUACUGAAAAAUGCAACAUCACUAGAAAAUGAUUCGAUCCUCUUAUUUCUCAAAAUCGAGAUAUCAAGCUAGGAUUGCGAUGCGUACAGAUGAUACAUUUGAUACUGCGGGCGCAAGAAUUCUCCAGAAGCAUCUUCUGAAACAAAAAAAAAAAGGCGCUUCAGAAGUGGUAAAUAUAAAUUAGAUUGAUGCAAUUUAACCUGUAUUACUUGCAAAAGACAAAUAUGACAUGAAAUGCAACAACCGAAGAAACGACGUUAUACGCAUCGACCUAAAUUGAGAUGAUGAUGUAAUAACUGUUACCCAUUUCUGCAAAUGAGACAAGAAAAGAAGGAAUAUGGAAGUACAAUUAUUCUGAUUAAUGCUUCCAACUUGCAUCAGAAAAGACAAAUAAUCGAACAUAUUCGGAAAAAAAAAGAAAAAGAAAAAUAAUUCUACUGUUUUGAGGAAGUGACUCAAAAAAUAAAACAACUCAAAGUGCGUGUCAAAAUCCAUCAUAUCUGAUUUAUUUUGUAUCCUAUUUUGACUUGUGAAGCCAUAUUUGGUUUUAAUCUACUGAAAUAGCAUAACGCAUCCAAGUUAUGCUUACUUUUAUGUGAUAUAGAAACCAAGUGUAGCCUUUCGAGUUCUAUUCUCCGAUGCUCAUCGUCUUUGCUGUUCAAAGUAACAUCAUUUAUCAUACCUUCUUUUUCCUUUUCUUCUGCUCAUAUUGAAGCAAAUUCGCUUUUUACAAAGUCCCUGGGCAUAAAUUCAGAUGCUUAUUCCGCUUCAGAAUAAUUCUCCACUAAGUUAUUCCCUGUCGAAUAAGAAGGCAUUUAUAGUUGCAGAUAUAAGAUGCCGAAGAAUGCGACAAAAGCGGAAUAAGCAUUUCAUCAGUUAUAGUUCCCUCGUGAAGAAUAAGUAGAAGAAGAGUAUUUCAUACAACUUCAUAUAUGAAAGAAGUAAAUCAUCAAAUAUGCUAAAUUAAUGCAUAUAAUGUAGCACGAGAAAGAGAAAAAACAAUUUCCUUAUAAAGAUAUUCUCAACUUUACUCCUUAAGAAUUGCCUUUUUCAAAAUAAAACAAGAGAGUAAUACUAACAAUUGCUUAGAUUCAUGUAAUCAAAAAGGAAUAAUUUAGUAAGAUCAAACUAUGAACUCACGACUCUUCUGUAACAUAACUAAUUCGCAAUUUAACGAAGGAGAUAACUCACCAGUUGAUUGAACAUCACAUGGAAUCAUUUCGGACGAAACCCAUAUGCAAGCAAUGCUAAUGUUAUCUAAGCAACCAUACUUACUUCCAUUUACAUCACCAUUCAAUACAUUUACCUCGCCACGAUGUCAAAAAGAAGGUGAGUUAAGUGCUUCGUUUUAGUCAAAAUUAAAACAAAUAACUACGUAUUUAACGAGAAUCUGAUCCGAGUAAAAUAACUCAUGGCCUAAGAAGAGCUCCAAAAGAAUUAAAAAAAUAAAAUCUUUAUCCACUGGGAAACUAGGUUUACGCUUUCCAACUUGCUUCACAUUAUUACCCGCAAAUUGUUCCACUAAUUAUACAAGACUAUCAUAUAUUCCUACUUUUUCUAAUGUUGACUUAAAAAGAAGCAUUUAAUCGUAUUCAUCUAGCAACUCCAAGAAACAAAUAGGUCAUACCCGAUAAAUAAAUUAUAGCUUUUCACAAAAUUCUUUUUUUGAUGCUUAUGCCUAUUUUUAGUACCAUCACUUGCUUAUUAUGGUUUUCCUUCCGUUCAUUUACGAUCUUUUUCUUUCCUUUUUCUUUUUUGUUGGCUCUUUGUCAGUUCAUAUUGAAACAAUCCCCCCUUACAAAGUUAUCCAAGUAUUAUUCUUGAUGCUUAUUCUACUUCAAAAAAAAAAAAACUCCACUAAUUUAUUCCUUGUAAUGACUAACUUCAUUAAAUAAACAAGGCAUUUAAUUACUACGUAUAAAGAUGCCGAAGAACGCGGUAAGAAGCCAAUUUUGGUUAAUUAACUUAAUGUCAUCAAUUAAGAGCUCAUUUAGUCUGUAGAACAUAAGAGCAUCAAAUACUCAGUUGUAGUAAAAUGAUAACAAUCUAUGUCGAACAAGUUGUAGUUAAAUGUAGGGACAACUUAAAAAGGCCUUCCUAAGGAUAGUGCGUUUGCAGUUUACUACUUUGCGGUUCUAAAUGUAACACUAACGCGCUUAGGUUUCUGUUUUAGUUCUAUAUAAAGGACCUUCUUUUAAAGGAGUAGCAAAAGUGAUCUGUUUAGUAAAGGUAUCAUGCGAGCAGGUCUGUGCAGAGAACAGAAACAGAAACUACAGGGGCAAAGAACUACACGUAAUCUUAAAUGCUAUAUAAAAGCAGCUAACGAUCAAUUGAACAGGUGAGGAAAGAUUUGACUGAAAAAGAAUAAGCAAGAAGAUCCAUUAACAACAGCGAAGCAGCCAACUUUUGAUGUGAAAAUAGAAAACCAACAUGAAAACAUUCCAAACCUUUAAAGUGUGAUACUACAUGGAGUGUGAUCAUCCAAUUACCGUAGCGAAUUCAGAAGCAGGAAAACAAAAAGCACUUGAUCAGAAAACGACAGCAGCGCUCAAACCUGUAGAGUGUUUAAUUAAAGUUAGUAUUACUAGAUCAAUUUCCUAACUAGAGUAGUUCUAUCCAAAGCUACUACAAAUUUUGAGCAGAUUAUGCAUAUCAUCACAAAUGAAUAGGGUAUGACUUAAAUUGAUUUUUAAUUACUAAUGAUCAUAAAAAGUAUCAAAUAGUCGAAAAGAUACAGUUUCCUUUUACUGACAUCUCAGAGUGUUGUUGCAAAGCCACAAGCGAAAGAGAACUUCCGAAAAGAUUAUUUAUGCACGAAAUGUAGAGGCCUAAAAGUAGUAAGAUGGCCUAACGUAAAGCAUUUAUGUUUCAGCUUUGCCUAUAAAGAAACUAACAUUAACUAGACUUUUCAAGUUCUAGAAUACAUAAAGAGCUUCAAUCUCUGUCACAAAAUUGUACUUUUCUCAAAGUAAAAUAAAAAAACAUUAUUCUAUUCUGCACACCUUUAUUGUAAAAAAUAAAUAAAAAUUGAGCAAUUCCAAAUGUGAGGUCGUAAAUCAUAGUAUCUUAUUGGUCAAAUUGAAAAGUUGAAAUUCAACGGCACCCUUGUUUUCUUCUUUUACUUCCUGCAAAAGCAAAACAACGGAAAUGAAUGAAUUUUCGACCAUAUAAAAACUCACUCGUUCUUUUUUCUUCCUUUUCAUCGAUUUAUUCCAAGUUCACAAAACCAUGCAGAUUCUCACUUCAGCAUUUGCUUCCCAUAUGGUUCCUCACUUUGCGUGUUUAAGAGAGUUGCGAUUCGGCACCAACUUUUAUGUAGCAGUUAAUCAUAAGUGCAAAAUUUGUCGCACAAUACACAAAUCCGGCAAGGACAUCUAAUAGAGUAUACUACACUUAAUUUGGCGUAUUCACUAUUCACAUGUUAACAGCUAAAAAAACUUAUUAGCGCAUUAACAGGAAAGGCAAUAAAGGAGAUCACAAGAGUCAUAUUCUAACACAACAAAGCUAGAGACAAGUAAGACAACUGUGCGGUGCGGUUUCAGUAAAGAGAAAAAAUGAAUUAGUGAGAAACACUAUUAUACAGUGAGAAAAUGAUACGUAGCUGUUUACAUGGGCACAGUAAUCAUCAAUAUCAUUGAAACUACUCGAAGUUACCGAAUUCAGUAAAUCAAAUUUUCUUAAGCCAACACUCGAUUUCAUCGAAUUGAAGCAUUCAAAUGCGUGAAUGGUAGAAUUUAAGUAAGAGUUUGGGAAGCAGUUUCAAGCUAUUUUACUUGAAAAAGGUUGGAAGAAAAGAGUUGUUGUUCCGUGCCACGACACUGGUCUGCGCCACGUAGUACUAGCGACCACCGCCAUGCAUGGGCAUGCCAUGCAUCGUCUUGACACGUCGAGUGCCUUUAGAAACAAUGAACGUUACAAUCCGCAAUCUUCUAGUCAAUGUCUCACACCUAUUGUCUCACACCUACUCGCUAACCUCGCACGUCCUGACUUUGCGUACCUAAAAGAUCGGCAGUGACUGCCACGGUGCAUGCCAACUGGUACCGGCAUCCAUAAGCACGGCUAUCCAUCGUCUGGACACGCCACUUGCCUUUAUAAAAAAGUAACACAACUGUCCACAAUCUUCUACUCGAAGACUUGCACCUACUGCACAAGCCUUGUGAAAGCUCACUUUACUAUGCGCUAACCUCGCGCUUCCUAACUUUGCGUAUCUAAGAGAGCGGCGAUUCCCCGGAGCAGCUUUAACCUGUCGACUUCAAGAACAUCAGUAUGAAAAUUGUUGGGCAACGUAGAAUUGAACAAGAACAUGAAUUACAGUACGUUACACGAGUUUGGCGUAAUCCCACGGUAACGAAAGAGAGCUUGUUUACGUAUUAGUGGGAAAAGCAACAAAGGAGAUCACGCGAGCCGUCCUAAUACGACAAUGCUCGAUUUAAAUACGGCCAUUGUUUGGAUUAAGUAAAGAAACAGCUCGAAAUUUACGAAACUGUGGACCAAAUAGAAGAUUUCUACAUUGAAGAGUUUCUCCCGAGUUAAUAAGCAGUAAGUUCCAUAGGUUGAGGAACAUGGUUUUAUCUAUAAGAAAAUGAAAUCGAUUAAGGAAACUCAAGAAUUAAACGAUUUUAUUCCGUAAUGAGUUUAAAAGCAAGAGAGCAAGCCUUAAUCACAAUACCGAGUAAAACUAAAGAUUUUUCAAAUCUCUUAUGAAUAAAUAAAAUUACGAAUAGAGGCAAUUGGAGAUGACGACAUAAAUUACUCGAUCAUAUCGUGAACAACUAAGAUGCGAAAUAUAUCACACGACAUAAACAAAUUAUGAGUUUUACAUAAUUCGCAAAGUUAUACGAGCACAUGUUACAUGAUUUGUGAAAGACUAAUAACCCCCUUCACCAAACAUAAAUCACAUUCCAAGUUCCGACUACUCUUGUAGAACGAAACAAUUUAUGAAACUAAACAUCCAUAAGACUAAAUAGCAUCCAUCAUAAAAAUUAAGGAGAGAGGAGAGUUUGUAAAAGGUAAAAGAUAUUUUUUUGCUUUUUUAUUAUUAACCUAACAUUGUACUUAUAACAGGGUUGGUUACAAAUGCAUGCAAAUAGAAAUGAAGAAAUUAACGGCGAUAAAACGAACAUAAUUCUAAGAACUUAUGAUGAUGAUGAUGAUGAUGAGUUACAUAAAACACAUUUCUAAGGAAUUUUUUUCUUUUUCUUUUUUAAAAUCUUUAUAGAAGUUACCCAAUUAUGAAGAGAAAAGCCGCGAGAUCAGCAGACCAUCACCGCGCAAUUAUACACAAAGCUCCCCGACUGACGGCUGGCGAUCACCUCCCACUCCGGCGGGCCCCCCGCGGUCGGGACCCAUGAGUUGAGCUCGAUGACCCCUCCGGCCCCGGCCGAGACCCCCCGCCCCCCGAUCACAAUCAGGCGGUCCCCGCACGCCUUGAACGCCAGCCCCCAGCCGUUCAUCGACACCGACCGCUCGGGCAGCCUCCCGAGCGUCGCCCACGCGUUGCGCCCCUUAUCGUACCUGCGCAGCUCGUUCGAGGCGUAAUCCGCCGCGUAGAGCUCGUUGCCCACCACGGCGACCAGCGGCGGCGCGCCCGUGGUGGCGCCCGUGAGCCCCGCGGCCAUGCCGGGCACCAGCCGCCACGCGCGGCGCUCCAAGUCGUACUCCUCGCCGCACGUCAAAUGCUCAGUAUGCGAGCGCAUGCCGCCGAUCACGUAAAACUUGCCGUCCAUGAACACGCCGGAGCACAUCUUCCGGGCGCGGUUCAUGCUCGGGAGGACCUCCCAGCAUUGCCUAUCAGAAUUGUACAUUUCCGCGGAGCUCACAAUCCUGCCGCCGGUGUCGAUCCCUCCGGCGACGACGGCGGUGGCGCCGGAGCUGGCGGAGCCGAACAAGCAGCGGGGGGAGUGCAUGGCGACGCCCUUGGACCAGGAAUUGGUGAGGAUGCUGUAGCGGAGCACAAUGCAGGAGGUCAUGUCCUUGCCGAAGACGAGGAGGUCGGUGGCGACGGCGAGGGACUCCUUGUCGCAGAACAUGAAGCACUCGAGGGGCGGCAUCUUGGGGACGGCGGCGGAGAUCCAGCGGCGGCGGAAGGGGUCGAAGGCGUCCCACUCGAGCACGUUGCAGGAGAAGAAGACCCAGUGCUCGACGGCGCCGGAGCGGCGCCGGAGACGGUAAAGCUCGCCGCUUUGGAGCAGGGAGCGGAAGCUCCGGUUCAGCGAGGCGACGGCGCCGUAGUCGGAGCAGGACAGGUGGAGGAGGCAAUUGAUCGAGAGGUCGCGCCCGAUCACCGGGCUUAUGAGGCUAUCCGGAUCCUCGUGCUCGCCCUCGCCCUCGCCCUCGCCGCCACAGCCGUAAAGCGGGGAAUCCACCACCACCACCAUCUUCUUCUUCUUCUCCUUCUUCUCCUUCUUCUUCGUCGUCUUCUUCUUCUUGCUGAGGACGCCAUUAAUGGGGUGUGGCUCCUCCGCUCGGUCCUCUUCUUCCUCGCCGGCGUAAGCCCGCAUGGAUUCGCGAUCGUAGGAGCUCGGAAGCGCCCGCGACACCAUGCAAGAGGAGUCCCCCUCCCGCAUUGCGCGCGCGCGCGCGCGCGUGUGUAUCCCCCCUCAACAACAAAGUGAAAAAGAUCAAAUUUUUUUUACACAACUUGGAACGACGGGGCCAAAAUGCCUUCACAAGUGUACAAACUCGGGGUUGAAUCUGGGCUUCAGAGGGGGUUUAAAAUCCUGUUUAUUUUGCGUCUUUUGUUGAGAUCUAAACUGAUUUUGUGAAGAAAAAACAGCAGGAGAAAAUUAAGGGGGAAAAAAAAAUGAAAUUGGUGUUCUUGAGGGAUUACUGAUUAGGAAAAAGAGAGACCCAGAAAACAAAAUAAGCAAACAAAGUAAGAGAUUGUAUUGCUUUGAUCAAAACAAGUCUAAAAAACUAAACUUUUAAUAGGAAAGGAGGAGAAAGGUGGGAUUUUUAGAGCAAAGAAGGGGGGGGGGGGGGGGGGGGGGGGGAGGGGGAUUUGAAGGUGCGGUGUGGGAGAACGUGGUGGAAGAGGCCCAGAUAUAAGCGGCCAACUGCUGUGGCCUCUGGGGAAAAGCGGCAAACGCGCUAGACACGCGGAUGCAGGAGAGUAUUCGUUUUGGGGCCCUGUUACCCUCUAAUCAUGUAAAAAAUAAUAUAAUUCUAGAAUAUGAAUAAUAUCUAAUAAUAUGCCUUUAAAUUCUUCUAAAAUAUUUAAUUUAUUUUUAUUUUUUUAUUUCGAAUAUACUUUUCGUGUAAGUUUUCGUCAUUCAAAAAUACUCUCACUACACCGACCGUCCUUAGCGCANGGGGGGAGGGGGUUAUGUGUCACUUUUUUUAGUUUCUUUUCACACUACUUGUGCUAUAGCUAUAGUACAACUGUACAAGCCACCCUUUAGUUUGAUUUUGAUUCGGCUAAAUUACACUUUUGGUACUUGAACUAUCAUUCUCCUGAUAUUUUGAUUCGCAAAUUUUAAUCUAUAAAUAAUUUUUAUUUAAAAUUUUAAAAUUAUUAUAAUUAAAUUUUGUAAUUUAAUUUUGUUGACUAAAUAUUACCGUAUUACUAAUAUGAAAAUAGUAUUGUAUCUUAAUUACUGCUAUGUCAUUAAUCAUAAUACUGUCUCAUCAUUUCUAUACUAGUUAAAUACCCGCGCGAUACUGCGGAUAUAAAAAUAUUUUUAUAAUAAAUUUUACUUUUUUUAAUAUUUUUAUAUAGUUUUAUAAGUCCAAUUAUUAAUUAAAUAAAAGUUAUAUAAAAAUAAUUUAAUAGUUAAAAAUAUUUAAAUAAAAGUUAUUAAAAUUAAUAUAUGCACAAAGUAAAUUUAUACAAUAAUUUAUUUGAUAAAGAUACAUAUGAAAAGAAUUUGAGAUAAAUCUAUCAAAAUAAUUUUAAAAAAUUAAUAAAUAGAAGGAAAAUAAAAUUGUAAAAGAAAUUGUUUAAUAAAAUUAAUUAUAUAUACACAGAAAUACAUUAUAUUUCUAAAAUUUUACUCCUGAAAUUUAAAUAUUAUAUUUUUUUUAUACAACGAUAUUUUGCGUGAUUUAAAUUGCAUCUAUCAAGUUAGAUUUUAUUACAUGAUUUAUUAUGCGUAUUAUUAAUAAAAUUUGGAAAUAAAUAUUAUAAGUUAAAAUUAAAAUUUAGAAUUUUAAAUUUUAAAUUUUAAAAUUUGAUAUCAAAAUUUCAUUACUAAUAAGUUGUUAUACAAUUUAUUAAUAAAAUUAAUUAAUUGUAUAUAUAAUUUUGGAAGUAUGGUUUCCAGAGUAAACCACAAGCCGCCAUGUGGCGCAUUUUCAUAAGAAGUUCUAAUAUAACUUGAUAAUAGUAUAGCUUAUUGUGUUCCAUAUAUAUAUAUAUAUAUAUAUAUAUAUAUAUAUAUUAUAACCUUGUGUUAUUCGAUACGAUAAUAGUUCAAUAUAAUCUUGACAAUAAAUACUUCAAAAAUUAUAACUAAAAAUUUUUGGUAACACAUUUCCAUGCUUCUCGCAUUGGGUCAAUUGCUAGUAUAUAUUGUGUGUGAGAGAAUGAAGUGGAGGGUUGGGGAACAGGUGUCACCCUGAGGUUCCCCAACUCUCUUUUAUGUAAUAGAAAUAGAUAACAGUAUAACUUAUUGUGUUCCAUAUAUAUAUAUAUAAUGAUAAUUUUAGAGAGAGAGAGAGAGAGAGAGAGAGAGAGUGAGUUGAGCUAGAAUACUAUCGAUAGCAAACGGGCUCCCUUGCCACCCAUUUGUUUUCGAUGAUGGAGCCUCCAAAUCGACGAUCGGCACCGUUGAAUAUGAUCUAUACCACUUGAAGUAUUUAGAAAUCAAAUUUCAAAUCUUUUCGACAUCAUUUGCCUAAUGAUCAAAGGGUUCCAAAAUUUGUAAUUUUUAUGGUCGAUAUAAGGCGUUUUCUCGUUUAAUGGCGUAAAGAUAUGCAAAUCAAUUAAAUUUUUGUUAGAAAAUUCUUUAAACUAUUUAAAAUAAGAUUUAUAGUCUUGAUCUUGAUUACAAGACUUCUAUCAUCAUUUUUUAAAGAAUAUUCAUUUUCAGCCGUUCAUUUUUGUGUCCACUCGAUGGAUAAGAGAACAAUAUCGAAAAUGUAUGAAAUUUGAUUUCUAAACACUUCAAGUGGUAUAGAUCAUGUUAAACAGUGUCGAUCGUUGUUUUGGAGGCUCCAUUAUCGAAAAUAAAUGGGUGGCAACGGAACCCGUUUGCUAUCGAUAGUAUUCUAGCUCAACUAUAUAUAUAUAUAUAUAUAUAUAUAUAUAUAUAUAUAUAUAUAUAACAGUUUUACAAAAAAUUUCAAUAUGACUUGACAAUAAAUUACUCAAAAAUUAUAACUAAAAAUUGGUAACAACAUUUUCAUGCAUCGCAUGGGUCAAUUGCUAGUAAACCUGGCAAACGGGCGGGUUGGGUAACCCAUGGGCGGGUUAUUGUACCCGCGGGAUACUUGGGCGGGUAAAAUUUGCCUGCAAAUUUUGGGCGGUCAAUAUCUUUACCCAUACCCGCCCGCGGGUGGGCGAGUGGAUAUGCGGGUUACUCGUAAUUUUUUUUUUGUUCUUAUAUUUUUAAAUGCAAAACACAUAUAUAUAAGUUUUAAAAGCGUAAUAUAACUCAUUGUUUAAAAUACCAUAACAUAUAAUAAAAAUAUUUAAAGUCUUAAAGUAAAAAUAUUUCAUAAUAUAAAAGACACGCAAUAAGAAAUUAGGAUUAGAAUUUUUAAGAUGAAUAAAUAAAAAAUAUAUAUUAAUUAAGAAAAUAUAUUUUAUAACUAAAAAAUAUAUGUGCGGGUACUCGUGGGUACCCGCGGGUUACCCAAAAUGCCCACUGCUUAAUGGGUGGUACUCGUGGGUACCCGCGGGUUACCCGUAAUUUUUUAGGUUGGAAAAGUUGGUAUCCAUACCCGUAAAUUUGUGGGUAACCCGCGAGUACCCGUGGGUUUGGGUCAAGAUUGCCGAAUCUAAUUGCUAGUAUAUAUAUGUGUGUGAGAGAGAAUGAAGUGGAGGGUUGGGGAACAGGUGUCACCCUGAGGUUCCCCCAACUCUCUUUUAAUGUAACAGAAAUAGAUUAGCGCCACAUUUACUAUAAAUUAAAUUUAAAAAAUUAAAAUGCCAUGUAUCUUGUAAUUCGAGGACCAAAAGUGUAAUCUAGCCUUUUGCUUUUGCGCCAUUUUAAUUUAAAAAAUACUAGCAAUAUAUUCCAAAAAAAUCAAAUCAUACAUCUUACACCUCUGAUCCUAUAAUUUGUAAAAUUUAUAUUGUGUAAUUUGUAAAUACAAUAACAUUUUCUUUUGUUGGUUUUUUUUGGAGGAAAAUAUGUAUUAGAAUUAUGUGAACUUUGGCCAAAUUGUAAGUAAUUAUAUUAACUGUAUAAAUAUUAAAAUUAGCCAUCUAAAUAAUAAUAAAUUUGAAUUCCAACAUCAAGGUUGUGUUUUCGUCAAUUCGUAAAAUGGAUUACGACGAAAUUGCUGUUCAAAUGAUAAUUUUUAAUGUCUUAAAAAGUCAGGAUAAUGAAUUAUAAUUCGACACAAGUUUAAAUAAUAUUGUGGCUUCUUUUUUUUUUUUUUUUAAAAAAAAUCUUAUAAGAUAUUUUAGACUUAGUUUGAAACCACUAACACUUUUUAAUUUUUCAUUAAACAAAAAUUUUAUACGAUAAUGCUUAUCUAAACUAUGGACCAUUUGAUUUAGCUAUCCAAUUUUUUAAAAUUUUAAUUUUAUUAUUCAAAAUUUUAAUUUGUUUGAUUUGAGUUUGUUAACAACGCUUUAACUUACAAAAUUUAAAUAUAUUGUUUAUCUUUAUAUAUUUAGUUAGUAUACUUCAUGCAAUUUUAGCAACUGUAAAUUUAUUAAAAUAAGUAAUUAGCUUAAAUUUUAAAUUCAAAAUAUCGUUGACUAUCUCAAAUCAAAUAAAUUUAAAAAAGUUGGAUAGUAAAUCAAAUUUUGAAAGUUUGGAUAGCCGAUUUAAAAUAGUCGAUAGUUCAAAUAAGUUUUAUAUGUUUUUACCUAAUAAUUUCUACUUUAUUAAUAUUACACUAUAUAUCUUUCUCACAAACAUAUUCGGUCAUUCAAAACAAAUAAUUAAAAAAUCAGGUUGAACCGGCUGGUCAACCGGUUCGAUCGUGACCCAAUCUAUGAAAUGGUUCGGUUCAAUUUUUUGAGCCGGAGAAGACAAAAAACUAUUUUGAACCAUUCGAACCGACUUUCAACUAUCGAAUUGAUGAACUUAUUCGAUUUUAAUCAAACCGAGCUACCUUUACCAGUCAAGUCAUAUUAAAAUCCAACAGUUUAAAGUCAAAUUAGCUAAUUUUAUUUUCUAUUAAUACAGAUUAGUUUUAUAAACGGUGAAAUUUAGAACUUUGUAUUUACUUAAUUCGGUUUAGAAAUUAAUAUUUUAUAAUUAAGUAUGAUAUUAGAAUAAUAAUAUUACAUUUAUGUAUAUAAUAAAAUUUAAAAUAAUAAUUAAAUAUUUAUGGCAUUAUACUGACGUAACUAGUGAUUCUUGACCCAAUAAUAUUUUAUAUCGCUGUUACCUAAAACUCUCUUCUUUUGCACUUUCUCUCUCUUACCAAUGUAUAGGAACAUUCGAAUACUUGAAUUGGAUGGAAUUACUUUUUUUUUUUUUUAUUGUAUGGUAACUUAUUAGCAAACAAUGUUGUUUUUGAUUUUAUUGAGUAGAUUUUGAUAAAUAUAAGCAUCCAACAAUUUGAGACUCAAUUUAAUACAAGUCCGUUGAAACGGCCCAACACACGGCAUCGUGCUAUCACAGAAAUUCUGAUUUGGAGCUUCUGCAGUGACGUGUUAAAUCGUAAUAAUGUGCAGACUGAAUCGCUUCACAAAUGUCGCAUGCUGAAUACAGAACUUCUGGAACCGCAUAUUCCACCGCACAUAAGAAUCUGAAUAAAAUAAUUGUCUAUAUAAUUUGAAUUUUCAAAAUAUAGGAAGAUUUAUCAAUCCAAAAAUAUAUAUAUGUGUGUGCUAAAAAAAACACAAUAUAAGAAGAUUUUUGAGUCAUAUAUGUGUGCAAAAAAACACGUUGUACCUCACACGUGCGACGCCAAAAUAGGACGAAAAGAGAAGGUACCUCACACGCGUGGAGGGUACGCAGAGUAUACGGCGUUUUGUUACACGUGAUAAGAAUUUAUUAAAAGAAAAUAAGAAAAGUGAAAAAAAUACUAACGGGCCCCUCAACUAUAUAGAUCGAAAUAAAAUCCCCAACUAUAAUUUUUGAUUUUUUUUUUUGUUAAACCAUUUAUUUUUAUUUCUGACUAUAUGUGCUUCGCUGCGUGUCUUCAAAUAUUUAUAUUUAUAAUUAAUAAAAAGGCUCGCGAACUGCAAAUAAACCUUAUCCUUUCGCGCAUUGAGCGUAAUAUUUGUUUUGCGAACUGUGCUGACAGUUGAAGGUUUCGGGCGCUGACACUUUAUUAUAAAAGAUUUGUACUCACUUAGUAUGUUUCGUACAAAUGUCUUUACGUGUAGAGAAGAUGUGAGUCACCAUUCGUCAGCGCAUUUGAAGUGAGAAUUUGGAGCUUCUCAAACUAAAAUGGGAGGAAUUUAAUAACUUGGAAGGAUUUUGGUACUUCCUUUUGUUACGUAGCAAUUUAUGGAAAAUGGUAAGAGCAAAUCAUAUUUAGAUUUAGUUUUUAACCACUUUACUUCUACAAUUUUGUUUUCUUUUUUUUCUAAAUGCAUUUUAAUUUCUACAUUUAGAACUAUAGCUUUUUCAAAAUAGAGCAUCCCACACAUAAAUUUUGAGCAAAACAAUAACUUUUUAUAUUGAGAUUAUCUGAUGCCUUAAUAAUUAUUUUCGAACUUUGUAAUUAACUAUAAAUAGAACUUUUAAAUAUUAUAAAUUAAAGUUUCCUUAUUUUUACAAUAUCAUUUCUAGAUUUAUUUCGCCACGAAAUAAAUAGUGGCUCUUGCUCUUCAAAAAUUUACAACAGAUAAAAAGGUAAUUUUAUGUACUAAUUUUUUUUAAAACUAAAAUUAGAACCAAGUAGGUUUAACUAAUUAUAGUAAUUUUUGAAACUCAAAAGAGAAUUGAGUCCAAGAAUAAACUAAACUUAGGCAAUAAAAAGGGAACAAAUUGAAAUAUAAGAGAAAGUGGGGGGCUAUGAAUAAAGUUUUAAUCUAUUCCACGCAAAAAUUGAGAUUUCACAUGCGAUUUCACAUGCAAAGCGUGGUAUCUUUCUUACUGAUUAUUAUAUGACGUUAAAGGUUUUCAGUGUUGACACCUCAUUGUUGAGAAUCUGUACUGAUUUGGUACGUUUCGUACAAGUGUUUUUACGUGUAGAGGAGGUGUGAGUUGGCAUUUAUUAUCGCAUUUGAAGUAUAUAAGAAUUUUGAUUAUUUCUUAAAACUUAAAAGUGAUGAAAUUUAAUGACCUCGAAAGAU
rnacentral:lncRNA from 1 species